rnacentral:lncRNA from 1 species
AAAAAGCUAGCUUAAUUAUUCAUAUUUAGGAAUUGUACAAUUUCUGGGACCAAAUUGUGGCUAUCUUUGCCUGAAAAAAGGUGACCAUGCCUGAUGUCGUCACAUAUAAAGAACACAACAUUCUGCAAAUCUUUGAAAAGUAAGGAAAACAAUCAUCAGGGAAACAGAUUCCACCACUAUAACUUGUGUAUUUAGAUAUUUCAGCAAGCCUUACCCUUUAAAUAUUUAACUUUAACAGUCUCGAGUGGAGAAAUAUCAUAACACACUUGUUGCGGUGGUGGAGUCUAUAUAUCUAUAAUGUAUUUGAAUUUGAUGUUUUAUAUCAGAAUUGUGGUGCCUAAAAUAUUAAAUAUUAUGAAACUACAGGUUGUAAAUAAAAAUUAAUGAUCAGGGCAUUGAGUUUCAAAUUGUAAACCAAACUUUAUAUGAGAUACAUGUAUAAUAAUGACA